AAAACUAUUUCAAGUUUUCAACACUUCACCUCUUUUUUUUUUUUUCUUCUUCUCUUUCUUUCUCACUCAGAUUAAGUUAAAGCCUCACACUCUCAAUUCAAUUUCUUUCACAAAAAUAAAAUUAAAAUAAAAUAAAAAUAAAUGGCUGCCACACUUUCCGUCCGGCCCGACCGCCUCUCAUCCGGUUCAUCCUUCCCCGGACAUCCGGUUCGCCGACUCGACGGAGUUCCACUCGGAAAGCCGAUCGUCACCGAACCAUGGCGUGGCGCCGCUCCCCUGCAGACGAGGUACUGGAGGAGGCUAGCGCGGCCGGCGAGGACGGUGGCGCCGGUGCAGGCCGGGUCGAGAGCGGACGACUCGUCGGCGCCGUUCGAGAUGUCGGUGGAGAGCGCGCUGAAGCUGCUCGGAGUGUCGGAGGGAGCUUCCUUCGAGGACAUACUCCGCGCCAAGAACUCCAUCGUCGCUUCCUGCAAGGGCGACCACGAAACUAUCAAGCAGGUUGAGGCCGCGUAUGACAUGUUGCUUAUGCAGAGCCUAAGCCAGCGGCGAGCAGGAAAAGUAGUGAACAGCAGUGUUCGCUAUGCUGAUGUCAAACGUGUUAAGUCCCCAGCUGUGGGAUCAAUGCCUCAAUGGUUGCAAUCCACCAUGAAGAAUUCCCCUGUUUCAAUUGUGUCACCUUCCACUAGUGAUUUAGGCUUACAAGCUGGAGUAUAUGGUGCAUUGAUGGGUUUAACCUAUAUCAACGGGACUUCUACACCCUCUGCUGGUUAUGCUGGGGCUGAUGUUCCUGGACUUAUCUUGGCUGGUAGCUUUGGAGCUUCUCUGUACUUCAUGACCAAAAAGAAUGUUAAGUUAGCUUUCCAGUAUUGAAUGUAAAAGAGACUGGGUUUACAGGAAAAAGAUUGUAAUUUUGGUGCUGCUAAUCUUAAUGUUGGUUACUCCUGUUUAGAGUAUGUCACAUGAGGAGGGCAUUAUUUACUAAACAUGAAGAUUAUGCCAAUGAAAAUGGUUGUCUCUGGAGGACUUAGAAGUUAGAACUAUCAAAUAAAUGUGGCAGUUAAUGUAGUUGAAAAAGGUGAUCACCUUGACAAAUGACAAAUGGUUGCUUCUAGCUGGAAGGCUACAGUUAUUACCAUAGGAGGGCUCAUAGCUGGUGCAGUAGUAGGAUCGGCUGUAGAGAACUGGUUGCAGGUAGAUAUUGUCCCAUUUAUGGGCAUUCACUCCCCUGCUGCUGUUGUUAGUGAAAUCAUAAUUAUUUCUCAAUUCUUGGUUUCUCUGUACCUAAGGUAGAGAUAGAAAAACACAUGACCAUGUAUUAAAAUGUGAAAUUGUAAUUAUUUAUUUGCUUGCAGCAUGAUCAUACCCAAAGUUUUUUUCUUUAAUC